AGUGAACGCUGGCGGUAGGCCUAACACAUGCAAGUCGAACGGCAGCACAGGAGAGCUUGCUCUCUGGGUGGCGAGUGGCGGACGGGUGAGGAAUACAUCGGAAUCUACCUUUUCGUGGGGGAUAACGUAGGGAAACUUACGCUAAUACCGCAUACGACCUUCGGGUGAAAGCAGGGGACCUUCGGGCCUUGCGCGGAUAGAUGAGCCGAUGUCGGAUUAGCUAGUUGGCGGGGUAAAGGCCCACCAAGGCGACGAUCCGUAGCUGGUCUGAGAGGAUGAUCAGCCACACUGGAACUGAGACACGGUCCAGACUCCUACGGGAGGCAGCAGUGGGGAAUAUUGGACAAUGGGCGCAAGCCUGAUCCAGCCAUACCGCGUGGGUGAAGAAGGCCUUCGGGUUGUAAAGCCCUUUUGUUGGGAAAGAAAAGCAGCCAGUUAAUACCUGGUUGUUCUGACGGUACCCAAAGAAUAAGCACCGGCUAACUUCGUGCCAGCAGCCGCAGUAA
rnacentral:rRNA from 1 species